AUUUCAUUUUUCAUUUUUUCUCUCAACAAACGCAGCCUUACUCCCUCUCUCUCUCUCCUCCCUUUCCCCUUUUCUCUAAAACCCUAAGGUGCCGCCCCCUUGUUUUUCUUCUCCCAUGCCAGAUAUGGAAAAAAUGCAGACUCCUCAGACUUUUGAUAGUCUUUGCAUGAUCAAAAGAGUGAAACAAUUAAUGUUCAACAUGAUUUCACUCAAAACUCGUCCCAAAUACGUGCAUGGCCAUUUGGGCUGAGGCCCAGCCACCCAAAGGCCCAAUAGGGAAAUUGUUUCGAAAUUAUUGAGUUUGAGAAAAAAAAAAAAAAGGAAGCUAGUAUAUAUUUGAAGGCCCAAUCAUGGGUGAAAAUGACACGAAGGCCCAACCAUGGGUAUAAAUGGUUAACUAGGGGUUUGGUACAACCCUAGUCUAUCAUUCCUACUUUAUUUAUGCUAUUUCAAUUUUCUUAGAAUGUUGUUGUAUUCAUACUCGUAGAAGCCACAGUAUUAUUGGAAUUGGUUAUGGUA